rnacentral:rRNA from 1 species
UACGGGGGGAGCAAGCGUUGUUCGGAUUUACUGGGCGUAAAGGGCGCGUAGGCGGCCACCGCAAGUCGACUGUGAAAUCUCCGGGCUUAACCCGGAAAGGUCAGCCGAUACUGCGGGGCUAGAGUGCAGAAGGGGCAACUGGAAUUCUCGGUGUAGCGGUGAAAUGCGUAGAUAUCGAGAGGAACACCGAUGGCGAAGGCAGCCCCCUGGGUCAAGACUGACGCUCAUGCACGAAAGCGUGGGGAGCAAACAGG